CACCAACAAGCUAGCCCACCCAACUAAAACCAACAAGCCAACAUCAAUAACCCCUAACACACCCAACCUACACAACUAAACCAUUCUACUUACCCCCUAGUAUCGGAGACAGAACAGGACCCUCGGAGCGAUAGAAAAAGUACCGCAAGGGAAAGCUGAAAAAGAAAUGAAACAAACCAGUUAAGCCCAUCAAAGCAGAGAUUAAACCUCGUACCUUUUGCAUCAUGAUUUAGCCAGCAUAACUCAAGCAAAGCGACCUUUAGUUUGAGACCCCGAAACUGAGUGAGCUACUCCAAGCCAGCCUAUCUAAUUAAGGGCACACCCGUCUCUGUGGCAAAAGAGUGGGAAGAGCUUCGAGUAGGGGCGAUAAACCUACCGAACUCAGUUAUAGCUGGUUGCCUGAGAAAUGAAUAUUAGUUCAGCCUCUUGCCUUCUUCCACUCCCCACUAACAACUUUAACCAAGGAUGAAAAGAAGAAAAGAGAGUUAGUCAAAGGGGGGACAGCCCCUUUGAAACAGACACAACUUUACCAGGAGGGUAAGGAUCAAACUCAACCAAGGAGUCACCCCUAAGUUGGCCUAAAAGCAGCCAUCUUUAAAGAAAGCGUUAAAGCUCAGACUACUACACUUACUCCCUUUAUUCUGAUAACCUACUCCAAACCCCCUAACCCUACCAGGCCAUUCUAUUAACAUAGAAGCGACCAUGCUAGAAUGAGUAAUCAGGGAAAAACAGCCUCCCUCAAGUCGCAUGUGUAACUCGGAACGGACCCCCCACCGAAUAUUAACGGCCCCAAGCACAGAGGGCAAUAAAACUACCCACCCCACGCUAGAAAACCUUUUACUGACCUAGACCGUUAAACCAACACAGGAGCGCACCAAAUGAAAGACUAAAAGAAAGGGAAGGAACCCGGCAAACCCCCCAAGCCUCGCCUGUUUACCAAAAACAUCGCCUCUUGCAACCCCAAGAAUAAGAGGUCCUGCCUGCCCAGUGACACUUAGUUAAACGGCCGCGGUAUUCUGACCGUGCAAAGGUAGCGCAAUCACUUGUCUUUUAAAUGAAGACCUGUAUGAAUGGCAAGACGAAGGCUUAACUGUCUCCCCCCUCCAGUCAAUGAAAUUGAUCUCCCCGUGCAGAAGCGGGGAUAAACACAUAAGACGAGAAGACCCUGUGGAGCUUAAGACAACAAGACCAACCUGUCAAAAAUAACAAAACAAAGCUAAACGAACUAAAUGGCCCUGUCCUUGUGUCUUCGGUUGGGGCGACCAUGGGGAACUAAAAAACCCCCACGUGGAACAAGAGCACCUCUACUCUCACAAACCAGAGGGACACCUCUAAUUAACAGAACUUCUGACCUAAAAUGACCCGGCUUAAGCCGAUCAACGAACCAAGUUACCCCAGGGAUAACAGCGCAAUCCCCUUCCAGAGCCCAUAUCGACAAGGGGGUUUACGACCUCGAUGUUGGAUCAGGACAUCCUAGUGGUGCAGCAGCUACUAAGGGUUCGUUUGUUCAACGAUUAAAGUCCUACGUGAUCUGAGUUCAGACCGGAGAAAUCCAGGUCAGUUUCUAUCUAUGAAAUGCUUCCUCCUAGUACGAGAGGACCGGAGAAAGGAGGCCUAUGGUUUAGCCACGCCUCCCCCUUAACUGAUGAACAAACCUCAACCAAACAAAAGGGAAUAAAAUUAUUCCAAAGAUAAUGGCAU
rnacentral:rRNA from 1 species